rnacentral:rRNA from 1 species
GACGAACGCUGGCGGCGUGCCUAAUACAUGCAAGUAGAACGCUGAAGGAGGAGCUUGCUUCUCCGGAUGAGUUGCGAACGGGUGAGUAACGCGUAGGUAACCUGCCUGGUAGCGGGGGAUAACUAUUGGAAACGAUAGCUAAUACCGCAUAACAGUAGAUAUCGCAUGAUAUCUGCUUGAAAGGUGCAAUUGCAUCACUACCAGAUGGACCUGCGUUGUAUUAGCUAGUUGGUGAGGUAACGGCUCACCAAGGCGACGAUACAUAGCCGACCUGAGAGGGGGCACGGCCACACUGGGACUGAGACACGGCCCAGACUCCUACGGGAGGCAGCAGGAGGGAAUCUUCGGCAAUGGACGGAAGUCUGACCGAGCAACGCCGCGUGAGUGAAGAAGGUUGUCGGAUCGUAAAGCUCUGUUGUAAGAGAAGAACGAGUGUGAGAGUGGAAAGUUCACACUGUGACGGUAUCUUACCAGAAAGGGACGGCUAACUACGUG